GAGUUUGAUCAUGGCUCAGAUUGAACGCUGGCGGCAUGCCUUACACAUGCAAGUCGAACGGCAGCAUGAUCUAGCUUGCUAGAUUGAUGGCGAGUGGCGAACGGGUGAGUAAUACAUCGGAACGUGCCCUGUAGUGGGGGAUAACUAGUCGAAAGAUUAGCUAAUACCGCAUACGACCUGAGGGUGAAAGUGGGGACCGCAAGGCCUCAUGCUAUAGGAGCGGCCGAUGUCUGAUUAGCUAGUUGGUGGGGUAAAGGCCCACCAAGGCGACGAUCAGUAGCUGGUCUGAGAGGACGAUCAGCCACACUGGGACUGAGACACGGCCCAGACUCCUACGGGAGGCAGCAGUGGGGAAUUUUGGACAAUGGGCGAAAGCCUGAUCCAGCAAUGCCGCGUGUGUGAAGAAGGCCUCGG
rnacentral:rRNA from 1 species